CUGGCAGUCAAAAAGAAGGCUCACCGGCUCAGGCUGGGGAGCAGGAAACUGACUGAAGCCUCGUCCAAUCAGGAGUCUUGCUGAGUAUUGUCCAAUCCAGAGCGCAGCCAGCGAGGAGGGGGCGGGCUUCUGCGCUUCCGGUACAGGCUUUUCCUCCGGAGUCCGCCAUUCCUGCAGUUCAGCUCCAGAUUUUGGUCCGGUACUUAGGAUCUCGGGUUGUUCUGCGGCGCAGGUGCUGAAGGUCCCCAGGGAGCAUGUCUGACUGCUGAGCACCAGAAAAUGGUUUCUCGUCUUUAUUUUUGGAGGUUAUUUCAGAUGGAAUUCUAGGGCUUUUCUUUGGAAAUUCUAACAAGAAAAAGAAAUAAGGCAAAUCUCUCUUCCCUAUGACUGCAGAAAAAUGAAUAUAUUUUCUCAAAAACACCUGAGCAUUGGCACUAAUUGUGGUCUCACUGCCUCCUGGUCUUCUCUGAGGUGGUACUGGGACAAAGUUGGGACAGGUGUGAAAACUGGGUCCCAAUGUCCAGACUGAAAGGUCCUGUACUUCAGAGUGUGGUGGCAGCUGGAGGGACCUUUCCCAGUGAUAAAGGCAGCAGUGAUGGGGGCAGUUAGAGCAUUGUCUGAGAAUCUUGUUUCCAACUUUUCUUCUCUUCAGGGGUAGAAUUAAUGGUUCAUAGUGUAUGCGUGAAUAGAUAGCACCACACCAUGUUCCAGGUGGCUUUACCUUUUACCUUGCCAUGGCAGGCUUGGUAAUUCCUAUUAAUUAUCAUCUCUGUGGCCAUUAGUCACAUAUAUAUUUAUUUGUCAUUUGAAUGUUUUCUCCUUUGUGAAAUCUAUUUUUGAAACUUCUCAUCUGUGCUGUACUCUGUUGGCAUGUCUUUCUUCCCCCUAAAAAAUGAAUAACACUUCAUAUAUUCUGCACUAUAAACACUUUACUAAAAAUGUUAACUACAAACAUCUUUGACUUUCAACUUUGGAGACACACUAACUUAAAAUGACAAAAGUAGUUUUUUUUUUUUGUACUGGGGAUUAAACUCAGGGGCCCUUGACCACCAAGCCUCAUUCCCAGCCCUAAUUUGUAUUUUAUGUAGAGAUAGGGUCUCACUGAGUUGCUUAGCCCCUUGCUAUUUCUGAAGGCUGGCCUCCAACUCAUGAUCCUCCUUCCUCAGCCUUGUAAGAUGCUGGGAUUACAGGUGUGUGCUCAGAAAACUAACAAUAUUCAAGAUUUAUCAGUUGUUUAUGUACAAAAGAAAAUAAAUAUUCAAAUUGUAAAUUAAAAACAAUUCUAGUGACAAUUAUGUCAAAAACAAAAUACUUAGGAAUAUAUUUUAGAAAGUUGUGAAAACUUGAACAUUAAAAUAUAGAGUAUAUGGCUUGUUUUUAGAAGAUCUAGUAUCAUUCCUAAGUCCCUUCCUUCUUUUUGAGGGUUUUAAAUUUAUAGAAAGAGAACAGAAAUUGUGUUUUAUUUCUGUGGUACUAAGAAGUGGUCUUAAGUAUGCUUUACUCGUGAACUAUAUCACCAUCACUUAUUAUUUUAUUUUGAGGUAGGGCCUUGCUAAGUUACUGAGAAGGAACUCAAAAUUGUGAUCCUUCAUACUCAGCCUCCCAAGUAACUGGAAUUAUGUAUAUCUGCCACAAACGUGGCAGGGAUUUUGUUCUUGACUUUAAAAUUAUUACACAUUGGUUCAGAAUAAAAUUUAGGUAGUUCUUUUGCCAUUUUUAUGGCAGAAGAUGGAGGUCACAGAGAGAGGACAUGGCUUUCCACAUCUUUGGAACAGGAAUACCAAGUAUUAAUUCACCCUCUUCCCCUUAUUCAACAUUUAAAGUUUCCACAGAUAUUACAGAAUUGUUUGAGAAAGAUCAAGGGCUGUGAGGAAGGGGAACCAGUAUUUCAAAGUGUCUGGAAGAGUACUCUAAGAAACAGUGCUGAGCUACUGGGGUAUGAAGAAUAGAGUCCCUGAGAUUUAAUUGUAGAAGCCACAGAACAUAUAUAAGAAUGUAAACAAUGCAGUUGAUACAUUUUUAAAAGAUGAUCAUGGGUAGAACUUGGUCAGUUGUACUCAGUCUCCCACCCCAUCCACAUACCCACAAACAUCACACCCCUUUCACCUCACUUACAUCACACCUUGCUUAAAGAGAAAUAUGUGUGUUAGUGGUACUCUGCUGUUCACCAUGGGCAGAACUCUUUGCCUAGCCUGUGGUAGAAAUCAGAAUGGAUCACAAAGUUCAGGACCAUCUUUGUCUUUGCAUCUCCCCCGCCCUCUCUCUUACACACAAAUAACUGAAGAUUUUAAUUAUAAAUAUUUUGAUGGAUGAUAUGAAAUUGGGAGUAUUGGGCCAAAUAAUUGGAACUUUGAAAGUAUACAUGUGCAGAAAGAGUAUGAAUGACACAUUUCCUAUCACACUGAUGUUUUAUUUCAUUAUUUUCACAAAAGCAGUUUUUUUCUGUGUAAUGUAAUAUAAUGUACUGAACACUGCAAAAUUAGUUUAGUGUGUUACAGAUACAAAGAGAAUUAACAUUUUAUCUUGUUGUUUACUAAUAAAUUUAAAAGAGACAUAUAUUUUUUUCUCAUACUUUCGAUUGCUUCUUUUCAGUUUGAUAAAAUUGGGCCAAAGGACAGUUUCUUAUAUUUUAUUGCUGUUGCUUCUUUCCUUUUUUUGUAUAAAUUUAAGUUGUAUAACUGUGCUUAGUAUUACAUAUAAAGAGAAAUAUCAGUGAUAUAGCUGAGCAACUUAAUAAUCAGAAAGUGUAUUAUUAUAUAUUCAUACUGUGUAUGUCAGUGGUACUGGGUGUAUUAUCCAGACCUGAAUAGAAAUAAAAUCCUUUAAUGUUAAGGAAAAUAGAUGUAAUUGGAUGAUAUAUCACCUUUUUUUUUUUUUUUUUGUGGUGCCAGAGAUUGAACCCAGGGUCUUGUGCCUGCGAGGCAAACACUCUACCAACUGAGCUAUAUCCCCAGCCUUCAUCUCUUAUAUAUAAUAACUAAAAUAAAAUUUAUGUGAAAAUAGAAUAUUGAUUACUAUGGCUUGGGAGGGUGCUGGGGCAUCAAGGAUGGAAUAAGGGCAUAUGGAUAUUAUUAAUAACUGCAAAUGUAUGUAUGAAAAUAUCAUACUGCAUCCCAUUAAUAUGUACUCUUGAUAUGUUAAUAAAGUCCAUCAUCUCACAUAAUUACUUCAUAUCUAAAAUUUUAUUGUCUUUGGUAUUUUUGGUAUGUGAGGCAAUAUUGUUAACUAUAGUCCUUUAAUAUAUACUAUUCUCUUUCUAUGCAUUCAUCUUAUCUUUUUGGUUGGGGGUCGGGUUCCACACACAGAGUAUACAAUGUAUUUCUUUCUGUGUCUUUGAUAAUUUCACUUAACAUGAAUUUCUCCAGCUUCAUCCAUGUUAUUGUAAAUGGCAAUAAAAAAAUAAAUAAAUAAAAUUUUGGGGGUUUGAAUCCA